UCUCUGUAGCGGUAGAGAGGAAAGGGCCUGGCUGCCUGGAAGCUGAGAAGGUACCAAGACUGGAGCAGGGCCAGGGGAAGGCCAGAGGCGCUCCAACCUAGAAACCCCGCAGGCUGCAGGCCUUGUUAAAGGCCAGAAAAAGAACAAUUUCUUACCACAUUCUGGAGCCAUACUUUCAGGUGGAGAACUUUCAGAUUUGGGUGAUGGAUCUGGCCCGCAUGUUUAGAGAGAUGAUGUGGGACAAGGUGGAGAAUGAUUAGUGGGCAGACCACCAGCUGAAGAACAUAUGGAAAUCAUGUCCGUCUUGGCCAUGUUGGAGCUAUAAAAAUAACUCUGGCCUUUUCUUUCUUUAUUUUGUAUAUUGCUUUGGAUAUUAGCAGAAUUGGAGGAAAUGCAUAUAAAAGAUGUCUAUUCCAUUUGAGGAGAAAAGCAUCUUCGAGAGAACAAUGACCCCAUCCUGUUCUGGAGCAGAACUGAGGGCAUUUCUUCUUCUUGACUGUGAUGAAGAGGUCUAUCUUUUGAGUUCCCCAAUGCGUGAAUAUGCUGUGAAGGAUCUAAUUCGUGAUCUUGGGAGAAUUUUCUGCUGUGCAUAUCUGCUGUAGUGUUCUGAAUGCCUAGGAGGUGUGCCAUCGCAACAGAGGACUUUGGAGAAGAUCUUGGGUGCCAAUGAUAGGCCAAACGGGAGCACUUUGUACUGGAAAUUAUUAUGCCCUAGAACGAAUCUCAGAAACCUCCUGUGGGAUGGAUGAAUCAUGAUAUGAAAGUAAGCGUCUUGUAGGUUGAGGGCCAAGAACCAAUCCCCCUGGUCCAGAGAUGGGAUUACUGCUGCCAAGGUAACCAUCUUGAAAUGUACUUUUACAAAUCUGAGCACCCUUAGAUCUAGAAUGGGUCUCCAACUGUCAUUCCUUUUCUGUAUCAGGAAAUAUUUGGAAUAGAAACUCUUCCCUUUGUGUUUGGUUCGAAACUGGUUCUAUAGAACCUAGUUUCACAUAAAAGAUGCUCAGGAGAGAGUUUUCACUUGUCUGUGGUUAUACACUUCCAAGAUUGAUGGAAAGGGGUAAGGUGGUCACCAAAUUGAGGGAGAUGCUCUGGCUGUUGCAGCAAAUGAAAUGGGGGGUGUGGUAACUCAGGGCCUGGAUCAAGAUGUCAAAAUUGUUGUUUAGAUGUAGAUGGCUGUGAUGUUGGUGAUUGUGGGGCAGAUAAUCUAUGUUUUUGUACCCUCUGUCUCUUGCUUCGGAGCUCAUAAUAUCUGUGAAGAGGAAUAAAGUGUGAUCUCUGUGUCAUUUGGUAUUUACUGGGUGUUCUCUUUUGGGCAGGAGUGUAAAUACCCAGAGAGCAUAACAUUUCCCUGGCAUCUUUUAAUGAGUAGAGGGAUUUGUCAGUUUUGUCCAUGAA